AAAAUGUGAGAGGCAAAAUUUGAAAGCGUGCCUCGUCAUUGAGAAGAGCAGCAGGUACAAUAAUGCUAGCGAGAUAUCGUUUCAGUCGUCAUAUCUUCAGAUUGACGAUUCGAUUGUUGCUCGUUCACAU